AUUGAACGCUGGCGGCAUGCCUUACACAUGCAAGUCGAACGGCAGCACGGGGCAACCUGGUGGCGAGUGGCGAACGGGUGAGUAAUGCAUCGGAACGUGCCAUUGAGUGGGGGAUAACGUAGCGAAAGUUGCGCUAAUACCGCAUAUUCUGUGAGCAGGAAAGCAGGGGACCGCAAGGCCUUGCGCUCUUUGAGCGGCCGAUGUCAGAUUAGCUAGUUGGUGAGGUAACGGCUUACCAAGGCGACGAUCUGUAGCGGGUCUGAGAGGAUGAUCCGCCACACUGGAACUGAGACACGGUCCAGACUCCUACGGGAGGCAGCAGUGGGGAAUUUUGGACAAUGGGCGCAAGCCUGAUCCAGCCAUGCCGCGUGAGUGAAGAAGGCCUCGGUUGUAAGA
rnacentral:rRNA from 1 species